GCCGGGGUAGCUCAGUGGUAGAGCAGAGGCCUGAAAAGCCUUGUGUCGGUGGUUCAAUUCUGCCUCCCGGCACCA
rnacentral:tRNA from 1 species